rnacentral:rRNA from 1 species
AAGUAACAAAUGCCCUGCUUCCAGGAAAAGCCUCUAAGCAUCAGGUAACAUCAAAUCGUACCCCAAACCGACACAGGUGGUCAGGUAGAGAAUACCAAGGCGCUUGAGAGAACUCGGGUGAAGGAACUAGGCAAAAUGGUGCCGUAACUUCGGGAGAAGGCACGCUGGUGUGUAGGUGAAGCCCCUGCGGAUGGAGCUGAGACCAGUCGAAGAUACCAGCUGGCUGCAACUGUUUAUUAAAAACACAGCACUGUGCAAACACGAAAGUGGACGUAUACGGUGUGACGCCUGCCCGGUGCCGGAAGGUUAAUUGAUGGGGUUAUCCGUAAGGAGAAGC